rnacentral:rRNA from 1 species
GUCUACGGCCAUCCCACCCUGAACGCGCCCCAUCUUGUCUCAUCUCGGAAGCUACGCAGGGUCGGGCCUGGUUAGUACUUGGAUGGGAGACCACCUGGGAAUACAGGGUGCUGUAGGCU